UCUUCCACUACGCUCUCAUCAGAACCUUCUGAAUUUGUAGAAUUAACAAUUUCUCCAUCGACUCGAACAAAAUCCUCGAACCCGGACGCCGCAAGCCGAUCCGAAUCCAUUUCCGCCGGCGUAAAGCGGCCGGGUACGGCGGAGAAAGUUUUGGAAUUUGAGGCAAUUGAGGAGGACUUGUGGCCGAGAUUUGUGACGGAGAAUGGAACGGCGAGAGAUCUGAUGGUUGAAAAGCGAAGGCGGGAAUCGCCGAUGAAUGAGUAGAAUCAUAAAGCGGCGAGGUAUGGCGGAGAAAGUUUUGGAAUUUGAGGCAAUUGAGGAGAACUUGUGGCCGAGGUUUGUGACGGAGAAUGGAACGGCGAGAGAUUUGAUGGUUGAAAAGCGAAGGCG
rnacentral:lncRNA from 1 species